GAUUACGCACAAAACAUUUUCAAAUCAAAGAAUUUCACAACACGAAGGCUCAAGCACCCAAAACGCAUAUUCCUGAAGAAUCAACUCAUCGUUUCCCGCUAUGGCCGAUGCAGCAGCCGCUAUUGCAAUUUGCAGUGUGAUUUUUGCACUAUUUUUUGUCUUCUGGAUUGGAAGUAUGUGCUACUUCAGGACCCCGUGCAAAGAUCUAAAGAAGGAAACCAAUUAUAUUGAAGAAGGAAACCUCAGUUAGGCGGGCAAGAACGAUUCUGAUAUUCACUAGCUUAGCAAGUUUUAUAGAUGUUAAAAACUACCCGUGGAAGCGAUGGAACGGUGAUAUUAUACAGACACGGGGACAAUUUUUGUGACAUUUCUACGGACGUUGUGUACGUUACCUGCAUCCCAAUACAUUCUUCUUCAUUUUUACUUUAGUACUUGAACUUUUGUAAUCAUUUCAAGAGAAUAUGAACAGCAGUCUAUAA